rnacentral:tRNA from 1 species
UCCUGGUUAGCUCAGUUGGUAGAGCGCUCCACUGGAAAUGGGGAGGUUCCUGGUUCGGUACGCGGACUAGGCU